GACGAACGCUGGCGGCGUGCUUAACACAUGCAAGUCGAACGGAAAGGCCCUGUCUUUGUGCGGUGCUCGAGUGGCGAACUGGUGAGUAACACUUGAGUAACCUGUCCUUGACUUUGGGAUAACUUCAGGAAACUUGGGCUAUUACCGCAUAGGAGUUCCUGCUGCUUGGUGGGGGUGGGUUAGUUUCGCCGGUUGGGGAUGGACUCGCGGCGUAUCAGCUUGUUGGUGGGGUAGUGGCUUAGCAAGGUCUUGACAGGUAGCCGGGCGGCGCGGGUGACAGGACACAUUGGGAUUGAAAUGCGGCCCAGACUCCUACGGGAGGGAGCGGUGGGGAAUAUAGCAUAAUAGACUGAAGCCUGAUGCAGCAACGCAGCGUGCGGGAUGACGGCAGUCGGGUUGUAAUCCAAUUUCGCCUGUGACGAAGCGUGAGUGACGGUAAUGGGUAAAGAAGCACCGGCUAACUACGUG
rnacentral:rRNA from 1 species